UCUUUUCCAGGAUCCAAUUCUAGGGUACCCUAUUGCAUUUAGUUAUCAUAUCUUCUUAGUCUCCUCUCAUCUGUGACAUUCAGUCUUUCUCUGUUUUUUAUGACAUUGACACUUUUGAAGAGUACUGAUCAGGUGUGUUGGGGCAUGACCCCAAGUUUGGGUUGCCUGGUGAUGCUUCCCUGUGUCAGAGAGGAGUUACGGGUUUUGGAGGAAGGAUGGCGCAGAGGUGGAGUGUCCUUCUCAUCGCAUCAUGUCACGGGUACCUGGGGCCAGUGCCACUUCUCACUGGUCACGUUGACCUUGGUUGCUUAGUUAAGGGGGUGUCUUCAGGUCUCUCCACUGUAGUUAUUUUAUUUCCCUUUAUAUGAUCUGCAUGUUAGAAGCUGGACACUGAGUCUGCACUCAAAUGGAGGGGAAUUCAACUACCACCUGGAGGAAGACUUGCUUUCUUUGGAUAUGCCGAUGAACAAAAGGGACAUUGUCCCUAACCUCAAAAUCUGGGAGAGAAAACAGACAGGUGAGGAAUGGAUAAAGAAGGGGAAACAUCGCAAGGAUGCUGUGUGAGCACCUGGCAGUUACUUGGAUCUUAGUUCUGGGGUUCAGCCCUAAUUUUCUUUCUUUGGAUGAAGAAGAUCCUCAGCAGCUAUCUUCAAAGAAUAUAUAUGCAUUUGACAUGUGGAAUACUUAAUGGUAUGAUGUUUGGGCACAAAUCAUGAACUAUAUCUGGUGAGUAUCCUGAGUCACUGGAGGAUUUGGUGUUUCAGGAAGAGGAAGAGGAAGAGGCUCUUCGUGCAUUUUCAGAAGGAAAGAUGAUUGACAAACAUCAUCUCAAUCACUGGACAAACUCCCCUCACUUUACUCCUUUGAGCAGUUAGCUCAAGGGGAA